rnacentral:lncRNA from 1 species
UUGGAGCAAGUUGGAGCAAGGUGAGUCCCAAUUAUUUAGAAUAAGACUUUGGUUGUUCUUUGUAUACAAGUUGAUGUAUAAUCAACCCAUAAUUAUGUAUGUUGCUCAAAUUAGGCACAAAAAUUAGAAAACUUUGAUUUUUGGUGGGAUUGUUUUCGGCAGGCAGAAGCAUUAAUGGUGGUAAGACCUCUCUCUCUCUCUCUCUCUCUCUCUCUCUCUCUCUCUCUCUCUCUCUCUCUCUCUCUCUGGCACACACAAAAUAUUGUUAUUUUUUAGCCCCUUCUACAUAAUUUUCCAGACCAUUGUUUCGAUUGGAUAAUUGGUUGAACUAAUUUCUGAUGAAUUUCUAAGUUCAAGUGUUUAUAUUGGUGCUUUUUUUUUUCUACAACUCUUUAUGUAUUUAAAUGAGUAGCUAUAUUUUUUUUUUAGAUAUAUUUAUAAAGUUUCUGUAGAUACUUUUAGUUACAGUUAAGAUACCAUUGUUUGUGUGUUCUGUUACAAUUAAACAUAUGUACUAUUUAAAUUCCUAUUAAAAAUUAAAUUUGGUAGUAUAUUAUAUAUGAGUAAAAUAAGUGCCGGUUAAUUUGUCAAGUUCUACUACUAUGUUACAUGUAUUUUUCUGAAAAUUUAAUAAAGGAAAAAAGAACUCCGAGAAGAGUUCUGAACUGGUCCUCUUGAGCUCUAGUAAUCCUCAACAUAUAAGAAAUGUAAGAAAUAAUUUGUCUGAACUAUAUGACUGUUGUUAUUGGUGUAUGUAGUUGGAACCACCUUGAAGAAUAAUACUUUUAGUAUAAAUUUAUGUUUGUAAAGCCAAUAAAUUAAAAAUUUAUGCUUCUCACCUCAAUCCUUCUUCAUCAGUUUCUAACCGGAGCUUAAAGUCCCACAAGCGAAAGGACAGGUGGAAAAAGGUAAUUUUGCCCACCAUUUUUUUUUAAAUUGAAUUCAAUUGAACAUAUGUACAGUUGAUUUGAUUAUUUGUUGUCCAUAAUGUUUAUAUUCUAGAUUUUUCAAUACGACGUUUUUCUUUAAUUAUUUGUGCAAUUGGCUGCUUAAAAAAAAGAGGUACAUGGCCAUGAAAUCAGAUGCUAUAAAUGAAAUAUAAAUACUUUUUUUUUAAUGCAGCGGAUUACAGCCUUUGCGAAAAAAAAUGUUUUAACAUCAACGUUAACUAUUCGGGCACCAUCACCACAUAUAUUACGGUAAUUACAGAAGCUUUUGGUGAAUUCAGAUGAUAAUUCACAAAAAACUUUGUGAAACUUGAAUCGAACUAUUUGUUAAUUGUUAGUUUCUUCGCUGCUGAUGGAACGACAAUAUAAUAAUCAUAAUCAACAUUUGUCUCAGAUUUGGUUCGUGGUGUUCAUAAUAUCUUUGGCCUAGAUCAGACCCGUGUUGUUCAUAAUUUCUUUGGCCAGUGUGCUUUGGAGACACUUGUAUGCAUGUUUGCACUGAGGAAAUAGACUAG